rnacentral:lncRNA from 1 species
CUAAGGAUCAUGUAAGGCCUAUUAAUUUAAUAUUUUUAAAAAUUUUAAAUAACCAAGUAAUUACCAAAUCAAUCCACCGAGUCAAAACUUUAAAUCAAAUGUAAACUUUGUUCAAUACAAUUUAUUCACAUGUUCAUUGGUAUCAGAAAACUUAAACUAACUAAACUACUAAAGGCUUCUGUUCUUAUUUGCUCUCGCCCAAAACCGCCC